GACGAACGCUGGCGGCGUGCUUAACACAUGCAAGUCGAACGGUGAAGGGAGCUUGCUCCCGGAUCAGUGGCGAACGGGUGAGUAACACGUGAGCAACCUACCCUUGACUCUGGGAUACCAGUUGGAAACAGCUGCUAAUACCGGAUAUGACCUCAGAGGGCAUCCUCAGAGGUGGAAAGCUCCGACGGUCAAGGAUGGGCUCGCGGCCUAUCAGCUUGUUGGUGGGGUAACGGCCCACCAAGGCGACGACGGGUAGCCGGCCUGAGAGGGCGACCGGCCACACUGGGACUGAGAUACGGCCCAGACUCCUACGGGAGGCAGCAGUGGGGAAUAUUGCACAAUGGGCGAAAGCCUGAUGCAGCAACGCCGCGUGCGGGAUGACGGCCUUCGGGUUGUAAACCGCUUUCAGCAGGGACGAAGCUUUUGUGACGGUACCUGCAGAAGAAGCACCGGCUAACUACGUGCCAGCAGCAGCCGCCG
rnacentral:rRNA from 1 species